rnacentral:rRNA from 1 species
GACGAACGCUGGCGGCGUGCUUAAUACAUGCAAGUAGAACGCACAGUUUAUACCGUAGCUUGCUACACCAUAGACUGUGAGUUGCGAACGGGUGAGUAACGCGUAGGUAACCUGCCUGGUAGCGGGGGAUAACUAUUGGAAACGAUAGCUAAUACCGCAUAAUAUUAAUUAUUGCAUGAUAAUUAAUUGAAAGGUGCAAUUGCACCACUACCAGAUGGACCUGCGUUGUAUUAGCUAGUAGGUGAGGUAACGGCUCACCUAGGCGACGAUACAUAGCCGACCUGAGAGGGUGAUCGGCCAGACUGGGACUGAGACACGGCCCAGACUCCUACAGGAGGCAGCAGUAGGGAAUCUUCGGCAAUGGACGGAAGUCUGACCGAGAAACGCCGCGUGAGUGAAGAAGGUUGUCGGAUCGGAAAGCUCUGUUGUAAGAGAAGAACGGGUGUGAGAGUGGAAAGUUCACAGUGUGACGGUAGCUUACCAGAAAGCGACGGCUAACUACGUG